GACGAACGCUGGCGGCGUGCCUAAUACAUGCAAGUCGAACGAGAGCGACCGGUGCUUGCACUGGUCAAUCUAGUGGCGAACGGGUGAGUAACACGUGGGUAACCUGCCCAUCAGAGGGGGAUAACAUUCGGAAACGGAUGCUAAAACCGCAUAGGUCUUCGAACCGCAUGGUUUGAAGAGGAAAAGAGGCGCAAGCUUCUGCUGAUGGAUGGACCCGCGGUGCAUUAGCUAGUUGGUGAGGUAACGGCUCACCAAGGCCGUGAUGCAUAGCCGACCUGAGAGGGUGAUCGGCCACAUUGGGACUGAGACACGGCCCAAACUCCCACGGGAGGCAGCAGUAGGGAAUCUUCCGCAAUGGACGCAAGUCUGACGGAGCAACGCCGCGUGAGUGAAGAAGGUUUUCGGAUCGUAAAACUCUGUUGUUAGAGAAGAACAAGUGCUAGAGUAACUGUUAGCGCCUUGACGGUAUCUAACCAGAAAGCCACGGCUAACUACGUG
rnacentral:rRNA from 1 species